AUGAACGCUGGCGGCGUGCCUAAUACAUGCAAGUCGAGCGAACGGACGAGAAGCUUGCUUUUCUGAUGUUAGCGGCGGACGGGUGAGUAACACGUGGAUAACCUACCUAUAAGACUGGGAUAACUUCGGGAAACCGGAGCUAAUACCGGAUAAUAUUUUGAGCCGCAUGGUUCAAAAGUGAAAGACGGUCUUGCUGUCACUUAUAGAUGGAUCCGCGCUGCAUUAGCUAGUUGGUAAGGUAACGGCUUACCAAGGCAACGAUGCAUAGCCGACCUGAGAGGGUGAUCGGCCACACUGGAACUGAGACACGGUCCAGACUCCUACGGGAGGCAGCAGUAGGGAAUCUUCCGCAAUGGGCGAAAGCCUGACGGAGCAACGCCGCGUGAGUGAUGAAGGUCUUCGGAUCGUAAAACUCUGUUAUUAGGGAAGAACAUAUGUGUAAGUAACUGUGCACAUCUUGACGGUACCUAAUCAGAAAGCCACGGCUAACUACGUG
rnacentral:rRNA from 1 species